UCGAACGUAAGAUGACUGUAGGUGAAAGCUUACAUCUCUUCGGAGCAUUUUACGAGGUGCUGCAUGGUUGUCGUCAGCUCGUGCCGUGAGGUGUCGGGUUAAGUCCCAUAACGAGCGCAACCCUACCUUUAGUUGCCAUCAGGUAAUGCUGGGGACUCUAAAGGAACUGCCUACGCAAGUAGUGAGGAAGGCGGGGAGUGACGUCAAAUCAGCACGGCCCUUACGUCCAGGGCUACACACGUGCUACAAUGGCCGAUACAGAGGGCAGCUACCUGGUGACAGGAUGCAAAUCUCCAAAGUCGGUCUCAGUUCGGAUCGGAGUCUGCAACCCGACUCCGUGAAGUUGGAUUCGCUAGUAAUCGCGCAUCAGCCAUGGCGCGGUGAAUACGUUCCCGGGCCUU
rnacentral:rRNA from 1 species